rnacentral:rRNA from 1 species
UGGGGAAUAUUGGACAAUGGGCGCAAGCCUGAUCCAGCCAUGCCGCGUGGGUGAUGAAGGCCUUAGGGUUGUAAAGCUCUUUUGUCAGGGAAGAUAAUGACGGUACCUGAAGAAUAAGCACCGGCUAACUUCGUGCCAGCAGCCGCGGUAAUACGAAGGGUGCUAGCGUUGUUCGGAAUUACUGGGCGUAAAGCGCACGUAGGCGGAUCGUUAAGUCGGGGGUGAAAUCCUGGAGCUCAACUCCAGAACUGCCUUCGAUACUGGCGAUCUUGAGUCCGGAAGAGGUGAGUGGAACUCCUAGUGUAGAGGUGGAAUUCGUAGAUAUUAGGAAGAACACCAGUGGCGAAGGCGGCUCACUGGUCCGGUACUGACGCUGAGGUGCGAAAGCGUGGGGAGCAAAC